UUCCACUUGAUUUUCAGAAAGAAUGCCCAGAUGAGGCUGCUCAGCCUAGCCUAAGCACUGGAUCCAUAAAUCCUUGCAAGAGUACUUUCAUGGAUGUCAGUGACAACAAUUAAGCUUGAAGAGCAUGAGAAGACAUUUUAAUCAGAAGCUGAUUAAGAACAAUGGGGGCAUAUGUAUCAUUGAUUGUGUCUGAAGUACUCUGACUGAUCUGGAAGAUUAUUCCAUUAAUAUAUGGAUGUAAACAGACACCAACAUUUUCUCAGGAUGAGGCAACUUCACUUUGAAGUUUCCACCUCCAAAUCUGGCAUUUAUUUAUUAGACGACAAAUAAAAAUGAGCAACAUUUACCUACCUAGGGAAGACAUCUGGUGCUGGUUUCUUGUCUUUGGGUAGGACA